UACGUAGAUGGCGAGCGUUAUCCGGAAUGACUGGGCGUAAAGGGUGCGUAGGCGGUUAUGUAAGUCAGAUGUGAAAUACCAGUGCUUAACAUUGGAGUUGCAUUUGAAACUAUAUGACUUGAGUGCAGGAGAGGAAAGUGGAAUUCCUAGUGUAGCGGUGAAAUGCGUAGAUAUUAGGAGGAACACCAGUGGCGAAGGCGACUUUCUGGACUGUAACUGACGCUGAGGCACGAAAGCAUGGGGAG
rnacentral:rRNA from 1 species